rnacentral:rRNA from 1 species
GAUGAACGCUGGCGGCGUGCCUAAUACAUGCAAGUCGAGCGAACAGACGAGGAGCUUACUCCUCUGACGUUAGCGGCGGACGGGUGAGUAACACGUGGAUAACCUACCUAUAAGACUGGGAUAACUUCGGGAAACCGGAGCUAAUACCGGAUAAUACAUUGAACCGCAGGGUGCAAUAGUGAAUGACGGUUUUGCUGUCACUUAGAGAUGGAUCCGCGCUGCAUUAGCUAGUUGGUAAGGAAACGGCCUACCAAGGCAACGUUGCGUAGCCGACCGGAGAGGGUGAUCGGCCCCCCGGGACCUGGGACCCGUUCCGGCCUCCACCGGGGGGCGGCGGUGGGAAUUCUGCCGCAUGGGGCGAAGGCCUGACGAAGCAACGCCGCGUGAGUGAUGAAGGUCUUCGGUUCGUAAACCUCUGUUAUUAGGGAAGAACAAAUGUGUAAGUAACUAUGCUCGUCUGGCCGGUACCUAAUCAGAAAGCCCCGGCUACCUCCGU